AUUUGGUUUAAGGUUUGAUUAGGGUUUGGAUUAGGGUUUGAUUUAGGAUUUAGAAUUUAAAGAUUAAUUAGAAUUUAGUUUAGGAUUUAGGAUUUAGAUUAGGAUUUGAUUUAAGAUUUAAUUAGGGUUUUAUUUAAGAUUUAGAGUUUGGUUUAGGAUUUGGUUAGGAUUUGGUUUAGGAUUUGGUUUAGGAUUUGAUUUAGGGUUUGGUUUAGGAUUUAGUUGGAGUUUGAUUUAAGGUUUUUUUAGGGUUUUAUUUAGGAUUUAGGAUUUUAUUAGGAUUUAAGAUUCAAUUAGUUUUGGCCUAAAGUUUUAAUGAAGUUCAAUAGGAUUUUAACUAAAAUUAAAUUAAGAUUGAAUUGAGAUAUAUUUGAGUGAUAUUUGUGAUCCUUCUAACAUUUCUUUAAGAAUUCUUAUUAUUUGUUUGAAAUUUCUUUGAGGUUUUUUUGAAUUUGAUUAAGCUUGCU
rnacentral:lncRNA from 1 species